GAUAUAAGGGCGUAUGGAGGAUGCCUAGACACUAGAAGGCGAUGAAGGUCGUGGCGUGACUGCGAUAAACUUCGGGGAGCCGUCGAGCGGGCUUUGAUCCGGAGGUAACCGAAUGGGGCAACCCAAUAUGACAAACUCAUAUUAUCUCGCGUAAGCGAGAUGCGUACCUGGGGAAGUGAAACAUCUCAGUACCCAGAGGAAAAGAGAACGAAGUUAUCCCCUUAGUAGCGGCGAGCGAAAAGGGAACAGCCUAAACCGAUUUCAUAAUUUAUUAUGUCGUCGGGGUAAUAGGGAUAGUACAACUAAAAAUUUGAAUUUCGGUCUUCUUGAUCGAGAUUCAAGUUUUUAAAAGAAGUUACAAAUUCGUGCGUUAGCAGAAUGGCCCUGGAAUGGCCAACCAAAGAAGGUGACAGUCCUGUAAGCGAAAACAAACGAACUUCUGUAUUAUUUCCUGAGUAGCCCGGGAUAAGGAUGUCCUGGGUGAAUUUGUCCAUACUACUGGAUAAGGCUAAAUACUUCUAGUGAUCGAUAGUGAACCAGUACCGUGAGGGAAAGGUGAAAAGCACCCCGAUGAGGGGAGUGAAAUAGCAACUGAAACCAUAUGCCUACAAAGAGCAGGAGCCGUACUUUGCACAGAGAUCCUAAGUCCUAAACGAAUUGGAAAAUUGUUUAGAGUUUGGAAAUUAGAAUUUAGAGUUUCCGUGCAGGGUGCGGUGACUGUGUGCCUAUUGAAGAAUGACCCAACGAGUUUAUUUAAAUUACACUCUAAGUCCUUAUGGGACGAAGGGGAAGGGAAACCGAGUGUUAAUAGCGCGUCAUCCAACUUAAAUUUUUGGACUACGUAAGUUCAAAAAUUUAAGUUGGAUAUGUAGUUUGAGUAAGACCCGAAGCCAGGCGAGCUAACCAUGACCAGGAUGAAGGUUACCGAAAGGUAACUGGAGGUCCGAACCAGUUGGUAGCGCAAUACCAUUGGAUGAGUUGUGGUUCGUAGUGAAAAGCUUAUCGAGCUUGGUAAUAGCUGGUUCUCUCCGAAAUGCCUUUAGGGGCAGCGUUGCACAGUAGCAGAGGGGGUAGAGCACUGAAUGGUAAUCCGUGCCCUUUUGGGUAGGACUACCAAACAAACUCCGAAUACCUUUGUGGAAUGUGCGGCAGUGAGUAAGCGGGGGCAAAGCUUCGUUUACGCAAGGGAAACAGCCCAGAUCACCGCUUAAGGUCCCAAAAUUUAGACUAAGUGAAAAGGAAGUGUUUUGCCUUAGACAGGUAGGAGGUUGGCUUAGAAGCAGCCAUCCUUUAAAGAGUGCGUAAUAGCUCACUAUUCGAUCUCAUCGCAAGAUGAGGAGGCAAAGUGCGCCGAAAAUUUAUAGGGGCUAAGUCUAAUACCGAAAGCGUGGGUUCGGUGAUUUCAUAAAGGAAAGUUGUGGACAGAGAUAGUUCAAGGGAAGAACAUCUGGCCUCAUAAGCCAGAGAUACGUGGCUCAACUCCACGGCUCUGUCCCAUAAGUCGGGCGGGAACGACAAUCAAUUUCAUACAGAACCUGUCUGCCAGACACAGCGGGUUCCACGAUUGUUGUUUUCGUCCGACAACCUUUCAUCUCGUUCUUCGAGAUGUCCUUUAUGAAACCACCGAGCGGUAGGAGAGCAUUCUGAUCUGCUGUGAAGGUUCGCUGUGAAGCGGGCUGGAGCGGUCAGAAGGGAAAAUGUUGGGAUGAGUAACCGCAAGACCGGUUAAAGUCCGGUCCGUCGUAAGCCUAAGGUUUCCUCCGCGAUGGCAAUCAUCGGAGGGUUAGGCGUCCCUAAGGAUAACCGUGCUUUCGAGCGCGGGAUGCCGAUGGUGAGCCGGUUAAUAUUCCGGCCCCACUUAUGUAUAUCUGAUUGAGAUGACGGGCAACACAAGAUCAAGCACAUUAUUGGAUUUGAUGUUUUCCACCCAUAGACUUUCUACCAGGAAAAUCCGGUAGAGGCCGCAAGGCAAUGUCGAGGGUAGAAGAAAUCGUCGCAAGACGAGAUUUGAUCGAAGAGGGCUCCAAGAAAAGUCUCUAAUGUUAGUACAUGAGUGCACGUACCUAAAACCGAAACAGGUGGGCUGGUGUAAGUGCACCAAGACGAACNNNNNNNNNNNNNNNNNNNNNNNNNNNNNNNNNGUGAACGACGGCAGUAACUAUAACUGUCUAAAAGUAGCAAAAUACCUUGUGGGGUAAGUUCCCACGCGCAUGAAUAGCGGAACGACUGGGGGACUGUCUCAACCAAUAGCCCGGUGAAAAUGCAAUGUCGGUAAAGAUGCCGACUUCCCGCGCCAAGACGGAAAGACCCCGGAAGCUUCACUGCAGCUUGGUAUUGGUCUACGAGUUGUUAUACGUAGCGUAGUGAGUAGGAUUUGAAGCCACACUCUCGGGUGUGGUGGAUCCGCCAAUGAAACACUCAUUUUAACGAUUUGUAGCUCUAACCGGUAACACCCUAAAAGGGUGGGACAAUAAAAGCUAAAGUAAGCUCCUGGUGAUAGAUUUAUUACUGAGAAUUUUAGUAAUCAAUCUUAUGGAGUUAUUUUAGAUUUUAUCAAUGUCUUACUUUUCUAGGGUGUUAUCGAGACAGUGCCUGGCGGGCAGUUUAAGUGGGGCACUUUCCUCCCAAAAAGUAAUGGAGGAGUUCAUCAAGGUUGGCUAGCUCCGGAUGGAAAUCGGAGCGAUAGUGUAAAGGCACAAGCCAGCUUUACUGCAAGGCGGAUAUGCCGCGCAGUUGCGAAAGCAGGACCUAGUGAACCGACUCUAACUCGUAGGAGUGGAGAAGAUCAUCAGAUAAAAGCUACUCCGGGGAUAACAGGCUAGUCUUGCCCGAGCGUUCACAGCGACGGCAAGGUUCGGCACCUCGAUGUCGGCUCGCCCUAUCCUGGGACUGAAGAAGGCCCCAAGGGUUUGGCUGUUCGCCAAUUAAAAGGGUACGCGAGCUGGGUUCAAACCGUCGUGAGACAGGUUGGUCCAUAUCUGGCGUGGGCGUUGAAUAUUUGAGAGGGGUUGUCCCUAGUACGAGAGGACCGGGACGAACAAACCUCUGGUGAACCAGCUGUUCUGCCAAGAGCAUCGCUGGAUAGCUAUGUUUGGUUCUGAUAAGCGCUGAAAGCAUAUAAGCGCGAAGCAGGCCUCAAGAUGAGAUAUUCUGGAUCCCUUGUAGACUACAAGGUUGAUAGGACUCAGGUGUAAGCACAGCGAUGUGUUCAGCCGAGAGUUACUAAUUGAUC
rnacentral:rRNA from 1 species